AAGAACCCUGUUCCCCAGGAACUGCCCCAACACCUCGAGCAGGUGCCUCCCCUCUCCAAUGAAGCCUCUCCCGUCCGCCCGGCCCAGAAACUGGGCAACUUACUGGUUUCGGCAUUUUCGGUUUCUGGGACACACUGCUGUUUGGGCAACCCUUUGUCAGGGCCUGUUAUCUCCCACUUGCAGAUCCAGGGCAUUUCAGAGGUCAGAGAGAGGAGGGAGGCCUCUUCUGAGAUUUUGACCUCUAUUCAGGUUCUACAUUCAUGGAAUCAGCCAACCUUGGAUGGAAAAGAUUUGGAAAAUAAUAAAAAUAAUACUACAAUUAAAAUACCAAUAAAAAUCCAAUACAGAAUAUAGUAUAACAA
rnacentral:lncRNA from 1 species